GCCAAUGUGAGUUAGUGGUAUGAGCAUCAGACUGUGACUCUGGAGACCAGGGUUCGAUUCCUGCCUCAGCC